UACGUAGGGGGGCUAGCGUUGUCCGGAAUCAUUGGGCGUAAAGCGCGUGUAGGCGGUCCGGUAAGUCCGCUGUGAAAGUCGGGGGGCUCAACCCUCGAAUGCCGGUGGAUACUGUCGGGCUAGAGUGCGGAAGAGGCGAGUGGAAUUCCUGGUGUAGCGGUGAAAUGCGCAGAUAUCAGGAGGAACACCAAUUGCGAAGGCAGCUCGCUGGGACGUUACUGACGCUGAGACGCGAAAGCGUGGGGAGCAAACAGG
rnacentral:rRNA from 1 species